CCUACGGGGGGCUGCAGUGGGGAAUAUUGGACAAUGGGCGCAAGCCUGAUCCAGCCAUGCCGCGUGAGUGAAGAAGGCCUUCGGGUUGUAAAGCUCUUUUGUCCGGAAAGAAAAGCUCGGGAUUAAUACUCCUGGGUCAUGACGGUACCGGAAGAAUAAGCACCGGCUAACUUCGUGCCAGCAGCCGCGGUAAUACGAAGGGUGCAAGCGUUACUCGGAAUUACUGGGCGUAAAGCGUGCGUAGGUGGUUUGUUAAGUCCGAUGUGAAAGCCCUG
rnacentral:rRNA from 1 species